rnacentral:rRNA from 1 species
AUGACACGAGGCGGGGUAACGGAAGACCCGCAGUACAGAAUGACAACAGUGGAUCUCAACAAUCUUGGGUAUGCAGACGAACCAUUCGUCCUAGCCAAUGAUGUGGCACAGAUUUUCUAUGUGAAGGACAUGUCUACCAAGUCGAGAAAAAGAAAAGAUAAGGAAGCGAAUACAUCGUACGAUGAGUCAAAGCGGCACAUAGUUAUUUCUAGGAAGAGAAACAUCGUGGGAGUGGAUGACAAGACAAACAUGUCAGGAGAUUAUGAAAAGUUUGAUGAAAUUGCUCCAUUCACAGUGAAUGUUGACCCGAGCAUCCAGUUAAAUGAUGAAAAUUUUCCAUGGCUACGGCGCAAAGGGACACACGCGAAGAAAAAGUUUCACACCCAAAGAUCUGGGAUGUGA